AGGUAAAAUUUUGAGGAACCAAAUACAUACAAUCAGAUUUUAGCUUCCUUGCUUUUGUUCCCCCUUCAAAGACUCUGAAAAAAGUUACUAUUUCUAGCAAAAUGACAGCUGCCCUAGUUAACAAAGGAGUUGACAAAGGGUAAGAAUGUGAAUGCUGAUCCUGUUGUAUCAACGUAGAUGAGAUUGCUGUUUCCUUCAGAAAACAACUUUUCCUCCUAUGGUUCUGAUCCAGGAGAAGACAGCUGCCCUUAAUUAUCUCCCUGCUUCACUUUUUCUCUGAGAAAGGAUAGAAUUAAUGCUUGAAAGGCCAAAAUGUACCCCUGGAUAUUUCCUAUCCAUCCUUGUUGACUUCAAUAGGACAGAGGAAGAAACAGUUAUUCCCAUACCCUGUGUGGGUGCUGCCUAGAACACUGAUAACUAGUGCAAGAAUACUUCCUUGCAAUGUGGAACUCAACAACAGAACUUCAAAACUCAAAGGAAUGAAGCAGCAAUGGUGGAAUGUCAGACACUUUCCAGUUGGGGAUGAGAAGAGAUAUGAUAGAAAAUGAAUUUUUGUUCAUUUUUAGGAUUCAGAAGAAAUUCCC